rnacentral:rRNA from 1 species
UACGGGGGGGGCAAGCGUUGUUCGGAAUUACUGGGCGUAAAGGGCUCGUAGGCGGCCAACUAAGUCAGACGUGAAAUCCCUCGGCUUAACCGGGGAACUGCAUCUGAUACUGGGUGGCUUGAGAUUGGGAGAGGGAUGCGGAAUUCCAGGUGUAGCGGUGAAAUGCGUAGAUAUCUGGAGGAACACCGGUGGCGAAGGCGGCAUCCUGGACCAACACUGACGCUGAGGAGCGAAAGCCAGGGGAGCAAACGGG